UGACCACUCUAUUUUUAGGGUUAAGGCCAUACGGACAGCGGGUCAACUGCCGA
rnacentral:sRNA from 12 species